rnacentral:ncRNA from 1 species
AAAAAGACGAUGAUAGGGACGAGUACAGUGUAUAAAAUGUGCUUAGCGAUUCAGGGAUGGUGAAAGCCUGGACAUGUUCACACUAGAAAAUCACCCUUAAGUCUUGCACUGAAAUGAUAGUAGGCUGCAACGAGUUAUUCACGUUACGAAUCAAGAGUGGAAAGGGGUAAUUCCUUUUCAACAGGGUGGUACCACGGGUUAACUUCUCGUCCCUUUU